rnacentral:rRNA from 1 species
GACAGAGGAGGCAAGCGUUGUUCGGGAUCAUUAGGCUUAAAGCGCGCGUAGGCGGCCUUGUAAGUGUCUUGUGAAAUCCCACGGCUCACCCGUGGAACUGCAGGGCAAACUGCAAGACUUGAGGUCGAUAGAGGCGCCUGGAACUCUAGGUGGAGCGGUGAAAUGCGUAGAUAUCUAGGGGAACGCCGGAGGCGAAAGCGGGGCGCUGGGCCGAUUCUGACGCUGAUGCGCGAAAGCGUGGGGAGCAAACAGG